rnacentral:tRNA from 3 species
GGUCCUAUAACUCAGUUGGUUAGAGUAGCUGACUCAUAAUCAGCAAGUCCUUGGUUCGAGCCCAAGUGGGACCAC